UCUUGGUCAUUUAGAGGAAGUAAAAGUCGUAACAAGGUUUCCGUAGGUGAACCUGCGGAAGGAUCAUUAAAGAAAUUUAAUAAUUUUGAAAAUGGAUUUUUUUUUUUUGUUUUGGCAAGAGCAUGAGAGCUUUUACUGGGCAAGAAGACAAGAGAUGGAGAGUCCAGCCGGGCCUGCGCUUAAGUGCGCGGUCUUGCUAGGCUUGUAAGUUUCUUUCUUGCUAUUCCAAACGGUGAGAGAUUUCUGUGCUUUUGUUAUAGGACAAUUAAAACCGUUUCAAUACAACACACUGUGGAGUUUUCAUAUCUUUGCAACUUUUUCUUUGGGCAUUCGAGCAAUCGGGGCCCAGAGGUUAACAAACACAAACAAUUUUAUCUAUUCAUUAAAUUUUUGUCAAAAACAAGAAUUUUCGUAACUGGAAAUUUUAAAAUAUUAAAAACUUUCAACAACGGAUCUCUUGGUUCUCGCAUCGAUGAAGAACGCAGCGAAAUGCGAUACGUAAUGUGAAUUGCAGAAUUCCGUGAAUCAUCGAAUCUUUGAACGCACAUUGCGCCCCUUGGUAUUCCAGGGGGCAUGCCUGUUUGAGCGUCAUUUCCUUCUCAAACAUUCUGUUUGGUAGUGAGUGAUACUCUUUGGAGUUAACUUGAAAUUGCUGGCCUUUUCAUUGGAUGUUUUUUUUCCAAAGAGAGGUUUCUCUGCGUGCUUGAGGUAUAAUGCAAGUACGGUCGUUUUAGGUUUUACCAACUGCGGCUAAUCUUUUUUUAUACUGAGCGUAUUGGAACGUUAUCGAUAAGAAGAGAGCGUCUAGGCGAACAAUGUUCUUAAAGUUUGACCUCGAAUCAGGUAGGAGUACCCGCUGAACUUAAGCAUAUCAAUAAGCGGAG
rnacentral:rRNA from 1 species